UCAAUUGAAAUGGGUUGAAACCCUAAAUUGAAGAAGCUCCGUUUGUUGGUCUCAAAACUCUCUCUGAUAGACAUUCCUCUCCUCAAUCAUCGCUCAAAUGUCAUUCUUAAGGUUCACCUUUCGAUCUUCUUCUUCUUCUUCUUUUUCUGUUUCCUUCUUAAGGCGAUUAUACUCUCACUCUCCAUUUCAUGUUAAUAAUAAUAAUGCUGAUGAUGCUAUUUCCUCAUUCAACCGCAUGCUUCGUAUGAAUCCAACCCCAUCCAUUGUUGAAUUUUGCAAGAUUUUAGCUUCCCUUGUUAAGAUGAAACAUUACCCCACUGCUAUUUCACUUUCUCACCAAUUGGAAUUUAAUGGAAUUAGGCCAGAUAUUGUUACUUUCAACAUCUUGAUCAAUUGUUACUGCCACGUUCCUCAAAUGUCUUUUGCAUUUUCUAUAUUAGCUAAGAUUCUCAAGUUGGGUUAUCAGCCCAAUGUCAUAACCUUAAAUACUCUUAUCAAUGGUCUGUGUUUCAACGGUAAGGUCAAGGAAGCACUGCAUUUUCACGACCAUGUGAUUGCACAUGGAUUUCACCUCAACCAAGUUAGCUACGGGACCUUGAUCAAUGGACUGUGUAAAAUUGGAGAAACAAGGGCUGCCUUGCAAGUUCUAAGACAAAUUGAAGGGAAAUUGGUCAAACCUGAUGCAAUGAUGUACACCACAAUUAUUGACAGUUUGUGUAAAGAUAAGUUUAUAAGAGAUGCUUACGAUUUAUAUUCUGAAAUGAUUGCAAAGAAUAUUUCUCCUGAUGUUUUCACUUACACUUCUCUAAUAUAUGGAUUUUGCAUUGUUGGUCAAUUGAAAGAAGCAUUUGAUUUGUUCCAUGAAAUGCCAUUGAAAAACAUCAACCCAGAUGUUUAUACUUUUACUACACUGGUUGAUGCUCUAUGCAAAGAAGGGAAGGUGAAAGAAGCUAAAAAUGUAUUAGCUGUGAUGAUGAAAGCAGGCGUGGAACCUGAUGUUGCUACAUACAGUUCAUUAAUGGAUGGGUAUUGCCUAAUCAAUGAAGUGAAUAAGGCCAAAGUUAUAUUCAACAGUAUGGCCCAAAGAGGAGUGAUGCCCAAUGUUAAUUGCUAUAGUGUCGUGAUUAAUGGGCUGUGUAAAAUUAAAAUGAUGGAUGAAGCCACGAAUCUCUUCAAAGAAAUGCAAAACAAUAAGAUUAUUCCUGAUACAGUAACUUACAGUUCUCUAAUUGAUGGUUUGUGCAAAUCAGGGAGAAUCUCUCAUGCUUGGGAGCUUCUUGUUGAGAUGCAAGAUAGGGGUCAACCUGCCAAUGUAAUCACUUACAAUUCUUUAUUACAUGCUUUAUGUAAAAACCAUCAUGUUGAUAAGGCAAUUGCAUUGGUCAAGAAAAUUAAAGACAAAGGCAUUCAACCAGAUAUGCACACAUACAAUAUACUCAUGGUUGGACUUUGCAAACAAGGGAGAUUUCUGGACGCACAAGUGAUUUUUAAUGAUCUUUUGAUUAAAGGCUACAAUGUUACAGUCCCCACAUAUAAUAUUAUGAUCCAUGGUCUUUGUUCUGAGGGCUUGUUUGAUGAUGCUGAGUCCCUACUGUUAAAAAUGGAAGACAAUGGCUGUGUUCCUAAUGCUAUAACUUAUGAAAUAAUUAUCCUUGCUCUCUUUGAAAAUGAUGAGAAUGAUAAGGCAUUGAAACUUUUACAUGAAAUGAUUGGCAGUGGUCUAAUGUAAGAGGAGAACCAGUUUGAGUAAAAGUUUCAAUUGGUUCUAAUGCAGGAAUGGAUAUACACGAGCUCAGUAUUUUGAGGAUAUGAUACUUCUCAGUCCUCACUCAGCUUAAGGAUUCUUGUUUAUUCUUCAUUGAUACGACCAAGCUGUGCAAAUCAUAUUCCAUCGUCUCCCAGUCAAAUGUACUAGUUAUCUCACGAGUCAUCAAUGCUAAACAUGUGGCAAGCAUUUUAGAACUUGAUGAUCUAUCUAGUACCUACUCUGAUUGUUUUGAAGUACAUAUUGUGUUUAAUCUGGUUUGUUGCGCUCUAUCGGACCACUCAAGUUACGCUCUAGAUGUUCAUUCCUGAGUGUGGGUGGAGUGUGUUAAGAGUCUCAUGUUAUAUAAUAUAAGGUCUGAAAAUAAUUUUAUAAUUGGGCUAGGACUGUUCAGUUCAGAUAGAUAACUAAACCGAACCAUAACAAUGGUUCAGAAGAACUGAACCGAAAUGCUAUAGUCUUCCUCCGAACCGAACUGAACCGGAUUAAUGGUUCGGUGAACCAGUUCUUAAUUUCGAACCGAACUGUUGUCAUACAAUUUUUUUUCCAAACCAAACUGUUAUUUUUUGGGUGAACUGAACUGUGUUUAAGACGUCCUUAUGUUGCUAGUAAUAAUGUAACAUCAUAUUUAAAGCUUUACCACAAGAUGUAUUCUGGCCUUCUAUGAUUCUUGAAUUUCAUUUGGACUGUAACUCUAUUCUAUUUUAGCCGACUGUGAAGUUUAUCAUGCAAAUAUAUUCACAAAGCUGCCAUAUUCUGUGAGCUCAGGUUCUCUCCAUAUGCAAGAUAGGGGUAUG